rnacentral:rRNA from 1 species
GUUGCCUCCGAGUACGAGAGGACCGAAGAGAUGCACCACUGGGGUUCGGUUGUCAUGCCAAGGGCAUUGCCCGUGAGAUAAGUGCGGAAGAGAUAACCGUUGAAAGCUUAAAGCGGGAAAACUUGCCUAGAGAAGAGUAUUUCCUGACCCUUUAAGGGUCCUAAAGGAACGUUUAAGAGUAAGACGUUGAUAGGUUGGGUGUGUAAGUGUAGCGAUACGUUGAGCUAACCAAUACUAAUGAACCGUGAGGCUUAACCU